UGGAAGCGUCUGGAAAGGCGCGCGAUACAGGGUGACAGCCCCGUACACAAAAAUGCACAUGCUGUGAGCUCGAUGAGUAGGGCGGGACACGUGGUAUCCUGUCUGAAUAUGGGGGGACCAUCCUCCAAGGCUAAAUACUCCUGACUGACCGAUAGUGAACCAGUACCGUGAGGGAAAGGCGAAAAGAACCCCGGCGAGGGGAGUGAAAAAGAACCUGAAACCGUGUACGUACAAGCAGUGGGAGCACGCUUAGGCGUGUGACUGCGUACCUUUUGUAUAAUGGGUCAGCGACUUAUAUUCUGUAGCAAGGUUAACCGAAUAGGGGAGCCGAAGGGAAACCGAGUCUUAACUGGGCGUUAAGUUGCAGGGUAUAGACCCGAAACCCGGUGAUCUAGCCAUGGGCAGGUUGAAGGUUGGGUAACACUAACUGGAGGACCGAACCGACUAAUGUUGAAAAAUUAGCGGAUGACUUGUGGCUGGGGGUGAAAGGCCAAUCAAACCGGGAGAUAGCUGGUUCUCCCCGAAAGCUAUUUAGGUAGCGCCUCGUGAAUUCAUCUCCGGGGGUAGAGCACUGUUUCGGCAAGGGGGUCAUCCCGACUUACCAACCCGAUGCAAACUGCGAAUACCGGAGAAUGUUAUCACGGGAGACACACGGCGGGUGCUAACGUCCGUCGUGAAGAGGGAAACAACCCAGACCGCCAGCUAAGGUCCCAAAGUCAUGGUUAAGUGGGAAACGAUGUGGGAAGGCCCAGACAGCCAGGAUGUUGGCUUAGAAGCAGCCAUCAUUUAAAGAAAGCGUAAUAGCUCACUGGUCGAGUCGGCCUGCGCGGAAGAUGUAACGGGGCUAAACCAUGCACCGAAGCUGCGGCAGCGACGCUGAUGCGUUGUUGGGUAGGGGAGCGUUCUGUAAGCCUGCGAAGGUGUGCUGUGAGGCAUGCUGGAGGUAUCAGAAGUGCGAAUGCUGACAUAAGUAACGAUAAAGCGGGUGAAAAGCCCGCUCGCCGGAAGACCAAGGGUUCCUGUCCAACGUUAAUCGGGGCAGGGUGAGUCGACCCCUAAGGCGAGGCCGAAAGGCGUAGUCGAUGGGAAACAGGUUAAUAUUCCUGUACUUGGUGUUACUGCGAAGGGGGGACGGAGAAGGCUAUGUUGGCCGGGCGACGGUUGUCCCGGUUUAAGCGUGUAGGCUGGUUUUCCAGGCAAAUCCGGAAAAUCAAGGCUGAGGCGUGAUGACGAGGCACUACGGUGCUGAAGCAACAAAUGCCCUGCUUCCAGGAAAAGCCUCUAAGCAUCAGGUAACAUCAAAUCGUACCCCAAACCGACACAGGUGGUCAGGUAGAGAAUACCAAGGCGCUUGAGAGAACUCGGGUGAAGGAACUAGGCAAAAUGGUGCCGUAACUUCGGGAGAAGGCACGC
rnacentral:rRNA from 1 species